UUUUUUUUUUUUUUUUCCCCUCUGUGGCUCUACACGGUUUUGUGCUAGGUCUUGGACAGACAGCCUCCUUCUGAGUAGUGAGUAGACAGGCUUGUGGGCCCUGAGAGUGUCUCCCCGUGGUGAGGAGUAAAACCCAUUUGUUACUGGUCCCCUCACUCGCACGCCUAGACCCCUUCGGGGGGAACGUAACAGAUGGAUAUGUGGAGAACAGGUCAUUUAUUCUCUGCACCUUUGCUUCUCUGGUAUCAUCUAAAGAAGAUGUGGGGGGAAAUAAAAUAAAAUAAAUUACCCUCCCUCCCCGCCCAAAAACCCAGAUGUUGUGAUUUAUAAUUUUAGAAUAUUUUUUUAUCAUUAAAUGUACUGCACAUUUGUGACUGUGAUACAAGAAAUUA